GGCUGUGGAAGAACAGCUAAAAGUGGCCAGGUGCUGUAUAAAGGAUAGAAAGGCAAAAGGAGUUAUAAUGUUAGGCACCUGCGUAGAAGCUGCUUGUCAAGAGAGGAAAACUCUAAACAGAGAGGAAAAAGAUCUGAGAGAGGAAAUAGAAGGUAGGAAAGCUUUUGAAUCCUUCUGAGCUUAUUGUCCUUGAAAACUGAGCCCCUGCAGAAACAGUUACAGGAAGAAAAGGAGAAGAAACAGAAAUUCAAGGAAAAAAUUGAAAUUAUACCUAUGUGGGCUCCUGAUAUCCUACAGAUCAGGAAACUUAAUUGUGUUCCCUGAAGAAUGGGAUGGAAAUAUAUGGAGUGAGCCUGAUGACAGUGAACAGCGGGAGGGUGAUUCUUUGUCACAUCCCCCUAAUAUGAAGUCUGACCUGUCAUUAAAAGAGAACUGUCUCAAGGACCUGGGGGUGGUUGUCAGCAAGGCAAGCUAGCAGGGAUGUCCUCAUAUCAGACAUGACUUUCCAAACUUUCUGUCAGACAUAAAGAAUCAUAGAAUGAUUUGGGUUGGAAGGGACCUUAAAGUUCAUCUAGUUCCAACUGCCUGCCGUGGGCAGGGACACCUUCCACUAGACAAGGCUGCUCAAGUCCCCAUCCAGCCUGGCCUUGAACACUUCCAGGGAUGGGGCAUCCACAGCUUCUCUGGGCAGCCUGUUCCAGUGCCUCACCACCCUUAUGGUGAAUAAUUUCUGCCUUAGAUCUAAUCUAAACCUACCCUCUUUCAGUUUAAAGCCAUUACCCCUUGUCCUGUCACUACAUGCCCCUGUAAAAAGUCUCUCUCCAUCUUUCUUGUACAUCCCAUUUAGGUACUGGCGGGCUGCUAUAAGGUCUCCUCAGAGCCUUCUCUCUCCAGGCUGAACAACCCCAACUUGUCUCAGCCUGUCCUCACAGGAGAGGUGCUCCAGCUCUCUGAUGAACUUUGUAGCCUCCUCUGGACUCGCUCCAACAGGUCCACAUCCUUCUCAUGUUGGGGGUCCCAAAGCUGGAUGCAGUAGUCCAGGUGGGAUCUCAUGAGAACGGAGCAGAAGGGGAGAAUCACCUCCUUCAACCUGCUGGUCAUGCUUCCUUUGAUGUAGCCCAGGAUAGAGUUGGCUUUAUGGGCUGCAAGUGCACAUUGCCAGGUCACAUUAAUAACAUAAAUGUAAACUCUCUUCCCUGCAGAUCAUCCCACUUUCCAGAGUUUUCUAAACUGAACAGGGACUAGUAGCCUGCAGCACCUAAAAGCAGCAUAGGGAGCAUGCCUAAAGCAUGAGACAGUGACCCUUGAAAGCACUGCAGGCAAAGCUAAGGAAAAGCUCUGAAGCAGCUCGCCCUGGCGUGGCUGGUGGAGGCUUGAUGGAGUUUUGCAAGUCUAACGUGAGUAAGUUCCUCACUUGUGCUAAUCCAGCAUAAGAAUUUCACUACAGAAGGCUACUACAAACACUGCAUUUCAACAACAAUUUCAAGCAGAUGUGGUAAGUAAAGAGUUUUUAAAGUAUUGUUUGGUUUAGUUUUUCCAAAAAUGGUAGCGCUUUUUUUUUUAUAUUUUUUUUGUUCCC